CUGCUAACUGCAUUCUUUGAGUUAUUUAAAACAAUGACAUGAUACUGUAUACCGGAUACUGUUGUCGGAUAUACUUAGCCGACCAUCGAAUACUGGGUAUAUCUACUUUGAUAACAAUGCCGCUCAUUAAAUCAGGGUGCCACUUACGGGCCAGAACUUUGAAGCACGGAGCCAUGGAGCUGGGAAGGCUGCAUAUUCCCUUGAGUAAGGUUUUGUCCAUGCAUCAGCCAUGAGCAAUGAUGGUGGAUGAGGAGCUCCCU
rnacentral:sRNA from 1 species